UACGGAGGGUGCGAGCGUUGUCCGGAAUUACUGGGCGUAAAGGCGCGUAGGCGGCCGUGUUAAGUCGGAACGUAGCAAAUCCCCGGGCUCAACCCGGGAACUGACGUCCGUUACUGGCAGGCUUGAAUCCGGGAGAGGGAUGCGGAAGUUCCAGGUGAGCGGUGAAAUGCGUAGAUAUCGAGAGGAACACCUGCGGCGAAGGCGGGUUGCUGGGCUGACACUGACGCUGAGGCGCGAAAGCUAGGGGAGCGAACGGGG
rnacentral:rRNA from 1 species